AUCUUUGUGCAGUGGCAAUAUUGUAACCAGUGAGGUUUACUUGAGGUGUGAUUAUUGCUAAUUGAAAACAUUUCCCAAUAUCUGGCCAUGACAAUUUGUAAUACAGUUAGCAUUGACAAUUUUUGAUGGUCUCUAUGGGGA